GCGGUUUGUGGGUGGGCUGUGCAGUCCUGGCGCUCUGAACGACCCGGAUGGCCCGCGCAGGCUGGCGCAGUGCCAGUGCGGUGGGUGUGGAGCCAAGGGAAGGCAUUGCCUCCUACUGCGGGAGGCCCGGGAGUCAAUUCUGCCGCCCACCUCGCGAAGACCGAGCCCUAAACUGCAAGUCGGUUCCCAGGGAAGCAGAGGUCAAGAUGAAUGAAUGAAUGAAUCCAUCAAUCAAUCAAGAAGAUAUUCAUAGCCUUCACCUUCCAUUCAUUUCUUGAGCUAUUGCCACCAUGCCUCCUCCACCCGGCUCCUCUUCAGUUGUCCAAUCAAAAGCUGCCAUGAUCCAUAUACAGUCAUGUCUAUAAUAGGAUGAGAUCCAAGAAGUGUGCCACUAGGCUACUCUCUGAUGUGCAAACAUCAAGCAUGUACUUACACAGUCUUGGAUGGUCUAGGGCAAUCUCUUGGUACAACCUCUUGAUGUAUGAAGGUACUGCCUGGGUAAGACAGCAUGCUGUUUACAGUAAACAUUUUUAAUAAGUAGGAGUACCCUAAAAAUAAUGAUAAUAUAAUAAAUGUAUU
rnacentral:lncRNA from 1 species